rnacentral:lncRNA from 13 species
AUUGGAGAACCCUGGUGGACCCAGUAACGUUCCUCCAGGAACAGCAUUGGAGAACCCUGGUGGACCCAGUAACGUUCCUCCAGGUUUUCCUAACGAACACCAUUCAUCUGAACCAAUCACAAUCCUGAUGAUUGGUAGAAUGAAGUGUGAAUCAGCCAAUCAAGGUCCUGAUGAGCAGCAGCUGAUUAGGUAAACUCAGGUGUGUUAGCGCAGGGCUAGAGAAAAAGCCUGCACUGCAUGCUCUCCAGGAAGCAGACUAGUCACACCGCAGUAGACAGGACCAAUUAGUAGC